rnacentral:rRNA from 1 species
GGACUACCGGGGUAUCUAAUCCCGUUUGCUCCCCUGGCCUUCGUGCCUCAGCGUCAGUAACUGUCCAGAGACUCGCCUUCGCCACUGGUCUUCCUUACGAUCUCUACGCAUUUCACUGCUACACCGUAAAUUCCAGUCUCCUCUCCAGUACUCGAGCAGGGCAGUAUCCAAUGCAGUUCCGGGGUUGAGCCCCGGGAUUUCACAUCAGACUUGCCCCGCCGCCUACGCACCCUUUACGCCCAAUGAAUCCGAACAACGCUCGAGACCUCUGUAUUACCGCGGCUGCUGGCAC